rnacentral:tRNA from 1 species
GCCCCGAUAAUCUAGCGGUCUAGGAUACUGCCCUGUCACGGCAUAAACGCGGGUCCGAAUCCCGCUCGGGGCG